rnacentral:lncRNA from 1 species
AACAAGUGGUAUUAGAGCACAACAGGUAUAAAUUCUAUCUUAGAUGUAUGUUUGAUUUGUUUGAUUGUAAUCAACAAGGUAGUCCUAGGAUUUAUAUUUCAGUCAUCUUAUUUUAAGUGUUAAAACUUAUUUUCAAAAGUUAAAAGUAUGUAAAAAAUUUUGAAAAUCACUUUUCAUUGCGUGACCGGAACCCAACGGAUA